AUUGCAACAGAGCGCACUCUGGUGUACAAAGCUGGGAGCCAGGAUGGGAGGAGAUUGCGAGAAGCAGUGCUUUGCCCAAGUUUGAAGUUGAUUUGUACAGCUCUAAGAAGUUAUUGUAAGUUACUAGCUUGGAUCCUAUCUGCUGCCCAGCGCCAGGAGCUGAGACCAGCCGAGGACACCUUCUGCAGAGCCCAAACUGAGCUGGAGCCUUCCUGUCUCCUUGGUGAAGACUCUCCCGCAGCAGACUCAGCCUCGCGUUUUGUAUGCAUGCAUGCUUCUGUCAGGGGUGUGGGUGGAGCAGGGGCGGGGUGUGGGUUUGUUUCUCCACGUGUCUCUGUGUGUUGGUGGGGGUACAUAUUGCUAGCAUAAUUCACAGUUUUUAAUUUAUGUUACUUAUUUUUAAUUUUUUUUUUUUUUUGAGACAGCCUCACUCUGCCUCCCAGGCCAGAAUGCAGCAUUGCAAUCAUGGCUCACUGCAGCCUUGACCUGCCAUACUCAAGUGAUUCUCCUGCUUAAGCCUCCCAAGUAGCUGGGAGCACAGGUGUGUGCCACCACACCCAGCUAAUUAAAGAUUUUCUUUUUUUUCAUAGAGACAGGGUCUCAUUGUGUUGCCCAGGCUGCUCUUGAACUCCUGGACUCAAGUGAUCCUCCCACCUGAGCCUCCCAGAGUGUUGACUGGGAUUAUAGACAUGAACCACUGCACCCACCCUCAGCAUUUUAAAAAAUAAAGUUAAUUAUUAUUUUUUCUCCUGUAGCUACAAACUUAAUUUUUUUUUUUUGAGACACAGCCUUGCUCUGUUGCCCAGGCUGGAGUACAGUGGCGU
rnacentral:lncRNA from 1 species